rnacentral:rRNA from 1 species
CCUACGGGUGGCAGCAGUGAGGAAUAUUGGUCAAUGGACGAGAGCCUGAACCAGCCAAGUAGCGUGAAGGAAGACUGCCCUAUGGGUUGUAAACUUCUUUUAUAUGGGAAUAAAAUGUUCCACGUGUGGGAUUUUGUAUGUACCAUAUGAAUAAGGAUCGGCUAACUCCGUGCCAGCAGCCGCGGUAAUACGGAGGAUCCGAGCGUUAUCCGGAUUUAUUGGGUUUAAAGGGGGCGUAGGUGGAUUGUUAAGUCAGGUGUGAAAGUUUGCGGCUCAACCGUAAAAGUGCAGUUGAAACUGGUAGUGUUGAGUACAGUAGAGGUGGGCGGAAUGCGUGGUGUAGCGGUGAAAUGCUUAGAUAUCACGAAGAACUCCGAUUGCGAAGGCAGCACACUGGACUGCAACUGACGCUGAGGCUCGAAAGUGUGGGUAUCAAACAGGAUUAGAUACCCGUGUAGUC